CAAUGAACAGACCAGACCAAGACAAUUUUCGCAUUAUUAUCAAAAACAUUGUUAAUUCUUAAAGCAAAUUUUUGCGCAGCGGACUCUUGUUAUGUAAAUACAUAGGCAGGCAUCUUAAUGUAUUCAGAGAUCCGUUAUGUAGGAUGUAAAAAAAUAAACACAAUGUGGGAUUUUGCAUAUUGGGAAUAUAAGUAGACGCAGACUAUAAUUAUAUUGUAUUCCCUAUUUUCAAUUCUGAUAUAAGGUUCUUUUUAGGUCGCGGAAUAAAUUAUAUAGCGUGAUUUUCAUUCAGUGAUGUAGCAUUUUGAAAUAUUGCUCUUAAUAACAUUAUGCUUCCUAUGGUUAUUUAACGCCACUAAUAUGAUUGGAAUCAAUUGCUGGUUUGUUAUGUUAACAUUUCUUGCAACAUCAAUUGCAGGACCUUGGAAAAAGUGAACAAGCCAUUUUAUGAACUCACAUUUCACAACACUGCCUCGACCUGGCCACAAGCAAAAUCGUUUUGUGAGAACAGCAGAUCAAGUCUUGUUCAACUUGAUGUUAGCUCUGUGAAAGAUGACGUUUAUGAUACAGUCAGAAGUUCAGGAGCCAUUUCUACCUAUUGGAUCGGAGCAACAGACGAAGCUUCGGAAGGAGUUUGGAAAUGGAUAGAUGGAUCUUCAGCAUCGAUUGACUGG